CCUACGGGAGGCAGCAGUGAGGAAUAUUGGUCAAUGGCCGCGAGCCUGAACCAGCCAAGUAGCGUGAAGGAUGACUGCCCUACGGGUUGUAAACUUCUUUUAUAAGGGAAUAAAGUGAUCCACGUGUGGAUUUUUGUAUGUACUUUAUGAAUAAGGAUCGGCUAACUCCGUGCCAGCAGCCGCGGUAAUACGGAGGAUCCGAGCGUUAUCCGGAUUUAUUGGGUUUAAAGGGAGCGUAGGUGGUUUGUUAAGUCAGUUGUGAAAGUUUGCGGCUCAACCGUAAAAUUGCAGUUGAUACUGGCAGUCUUGAGUACAGUUGAGGUAGGCGGAAUGCGUGGUGUAGCGGUGAAAUGCUUAGAUAUCACGAAGAACUCCGAUUGCGAAGGCAGCUUACUAAACUGCAACUGACACUGAUGCUCGAAAGUGUGGGGAUCAAACAGGAUUAGAUACCCCAGUAGUC
rnacentral:rRNA from 1 species